GAUGAACGCUAGCGGCAGGCCUAACACAUGCAAGUCGAGGGGCAGCACGUCUUCGGAUGGUGGCGACCGGCGCACGGGUGCGUAACGCGUAUGCAACCUACCUCUUACAGUGGGAUAGCCCAGAGAAAUUUGGAUUAAUACCGCAUAGUAUACAGAUUCAGCAUUGGGACUGUAUUAAACAUUUAUGGGUAAGAGAUGGGCAUGCGUUCUAUUAGUUAGUUGGAGUGGUAACGGCACCCCAAGACAGCGAUAGAUAGGGGCCCUGAGAGGGGGAGUCCCCACACUGGUACUGAGACACGGACCAGACUCCUACGGGAGGCAGCAGUGAGGAAUAUUGGACAAUGGCGAGAGCCUGAUCCAGCCAUGCCGCGUGCAGGAAGAC
rnacentral:rRNA from 1 species